UGCCAGCAGCCGCGGUAAGACGUAGGAUGCAAACGUUGUCCGGAUUUAUUGGGCGUAAAGAGUUCGUAGGCGGUGAUUUAAGUCUGGUGUUAAAUACCAGGGCUCAACUCAGGAUUUGCAUUGGAUACUGGAUCACUAGAGUACAGCAGAGGUAAAGGGAAUUCCCGGUGUAGCGGUGAAAUGCAUAGAUAUCGGGAGGAACGCCUGUGGCGAAAGCGCUUUGCUGGGCUGUAACUGACGCUGAGGAACGAAAGCCAGGGGAGCGAAAGGGAUUAGAUA
rnacentral:rRNA from 1 species